UAAUACGGAGGGUGCAAGCGUUACUCGGAAUUACUGGGCGUAAAGGACGCGUAGGCGGUUUGAUAAGUUAGAUGUGAAAUCCUAUGGCUUAACCAUAGAACUGCAUCUAAAACUGUUAAACUAGAAUGAGGGAGAGGUCAGUGGAAUUAGUGGUGUAGGGGUAAAAUCCGUAGAGAUCACUAGGAAUACUCAUAGCGAAGGCGACUGGCUGGAACUUUAUUGACGCUGAGGCGUGAAAGCGUGGGGAGCAAACAGGAUUAGAUACCCUGGUAGUCCACGCCCUAAACGAUGUACACUAGUUGUUGCGAUGCAAGUCAUCGCAGUAAUGCAGCUAACGCAUUAAGUGUACCGCCUGGGGAGUACGGUCGCAAGAUUA
rnacentral:rRNA from 1 species